UACGGAGGGUGCAAGCGUUAAUCGGAAUUACUGGGCGUAAAGCGCACGCAGGCGGUAUGUCAAGUCGGAUGUGAAAUCCCCGGGCUCAACCCGGGAACUGCAUUCGAAACUGGCAGACUAGAGUCUUGUAGAGGGGGGUAGAAUUCCAGGUGUAGCGGUGAAAUGCGUAGAGAUCUCGAGGAAUACCGGUGGCGAAGGCGGCCCCCUGGACCAUGACUGACGCUCAGGCGCGAAAGCGUGGGUAGCAAACAGG
rnacentral:rRNA from 1 species